rnacentral:rRNA from 1 species
AGAACGAACGCUGGCGGCAUGCCUAACACAUGCAAGUCGAACGAGACCUUCGGGUCUAGUGGCGCACGGGUGCGUAACGCGUGGGAACCUGCCUUUAGGUUCGGAAUAACUCCCCGAAAGGGGUGCUAAUACCGAAUAAUGUCUUCGGACCAAAGAUUUAUCGCCUUUAGAUGGGCCCGCGUUGGAUUAGCUAGUUGGUGGGGUAAAUGCCUACCAAGGCGACGAUCCGUAGCUGGUCUUAGAGGAUGAUCAGCCACACUGGGACUGAGACACGGCCCAGACUCCUACGGGAGGCAGCAGUGGGGAAUAUUGGACAAUGGGCGAAAGCCUGAUCCAGCAAUGCCGCGUGAGUGAUGAAGGCCUUAGGGUGUAAAGCUCUUUACCAGGAUGAUAAUGACAGUACCUGAGAAUAAGCUCCGGCUAACUCCGUGCCAGCAGCCGC